rnacentral:tRNA from 1 species
CGAAGUCUUGACGGCGGUGGCGGGUGCUCAAAUGGCGCCGCCACCGGGGAUCG